GACGAACCGAGCGAACGUUGUUCGGAAUCACUGGGCUUAAAGGGCGCGUAGGCGGGCUGCCGCGUCCGGGGUGAAAGCCCCCCGCUCAACGGGGGAACGGCCUCGGAUACGGGCGAUCUCGAGGGGGGUAGGGGCACCUGGAACUGUGGGUGGAGCGGUGAAAUGCGUUGAUAUCCACAGGAACUCCGGUGGCGAAGGCGAGGUGCUGGACCCCAUCUGACGCUGAGGCGCGAAAGCCAGGGGAGCGAACGGG
rnacentral:rRNA from 2 species